rnacentral:lncRNA from 1 species
CAGAGCUAGACUGCAGAAGAAAAAGAGAAAGAGAGGGGAGAAGAGGUCAAGUGUGGAAACAGCAAGAAGGCUGCUGUCUGCAAGCCAAGAAGAGAGCCCUCGCCAGAAACCAAAUUAUCCAGACCCUGGAUAUUGGAUUUCCAGCCUCCAGAAUGCUCCUUGAGGUGCAACUGCAUUACAUUUCUACUGACCAGUACUGUGCCAGAUUGAUGACCAGCCAAUACUUGAGUGUUUAUGAUAUGGCAGCAGCUGUUUAACCACCUAAAAGUACUGUAGACCUAGCAUACCCACACUUCCUAUAAGAAAGGUAUCAAUGUCCCCACUUUACAGAAACUGAAGCAGACACACUAGAGAUUAAUUUGUCUGGAAUUACAGAGCUAGUAGGUAGAAUCUGAACCCCGUGGCAAUCUGUAUCCAAAAAGCAGACUUUUACCUCUAUUAUUUUGAUAGAGGCAUGGGACAGCCAAAUGCCUAGGCAAAUAGGGUAAGGUCCCUGGAGAACCUCCAACCUGCCCAAGUCAUUGUGCACAGGGGGCUUGGCUAAACAUGCCCACGGUGAAAAAUUCCAUCUUUUAACACAUGUGCAAUAAGGGAAAUAAAUCAAUGUGGAGUGGCUCAGACUAAGGGCCCACGUGCACAUUGGAAGAAUGAGGAGGAGUCACCAGGAAUUCACACCUUAUGCAGGGGAGGAGCCUGGCCUUUUCAACUCGUAUGUGAUGGCCUGGUAUUCAAUUUGUGAGGUGGAAACCUGUGUUUGGGAUCCCUCUUUUUGUUAAGAGCUUUCCUUUCACUUAAUAAAUUCCAUCCUCCUCACCCUUCAAUGUAUCCACAUGCCUAAUUUUUCCUGGUUGUGAGACAAGGACCCAGAUUUAGCUGAACUAAGGAGCAAGAAAUCCUGCAUCAAUUUUAAUAAAUUGCAUAACUGAUAAAAGGCAGGAAGAAAGACUCACACUUAAUCUGAAAGAAAUCCCACAAAGUUGAAAUAAGCACCCUUUACUCAUGUUUAAAUCAAAGUACUAAAAACUACAACUGCUCAACAGCAUAUAAACAUUUCUUUUCAACACCAAUUUGAUUUAAUUUAAACACUGAGCACCUACUGACAUGUGAACUCUCUGAAUUAGUAACAGGGCCUACAAAGACUGAUAACAACAUGCUCCCUUCUUUGAUAAAGUCAUAAAGGCAGUGGGUGGGUUUGUCUGGUAGGGGCAGGGGUUUGGGCAAGAGAGAGAUUAGACAAACAUGUGAUAAGACAGACAUGUGAUAAGAAAAAGGCAAUAGUGUUCUCUGCAUUUCUCCUCUAUUUUUCUUUCCCAUUACUUAAAAGAAGCAAAACAUUUUUUCCCCUUCCUCAAAUAAGACACAUUCAGAGUGUUUGUCUCUAGGCAGGCAAACUUUGUUCUUUCCAAAACAAAUUGAGAAGUACAGGAAGCACCACCAGACUGACACUACAGUGCUGCUCUGUCAGGUACCCCAGGAUCCAAUAACCCUGAGGCCACAGCAAUCACCUCAUGCUCUUCCCCCUUGAAAAAGAGAAUUAAAGCAUAAUUCUCCUCAAAGUCUAAACUUACAGAGGAAAUGGAGCUUAAGAACAAUGUAUUGUCUUCUUACUGUUUGGGAAUGUCCCCCUUUCUCAGUCCUUCAGAAAGGCCCAAAGAGGUGGCUUAGUUAAAGUUGUUCCCAUAGAACCAGUUUCUAAAAACAGGAGAAAUUACUGAAGCAUAUGGCUUAGGC